rnacentral:rRNA from 1 species
UACAGAGGUCUCAAGCGUUGUUCGGAUUCAUUGGGCGUAAAGGGUGCGUAGGCGGCGCGGUAAGUCGGGUGUGAAAUUUCGAGGCUUAACUUCGAUACUGCAUUCGAUACUGCCGUGCUUGAGGACUGGAGAGGAGACUGGAAUUUACGGUGUAGCGGUGAAAUGCGUAGAUAUCGUAAGGAAGACCAGUGGCGAAGGCGGGUCUCUGGACAGUUCCUGACGCUGAGGCACGAAGGCCAGGGGAGCAAACGGG